UGCCACCUGAAUGACCUGGAGAAGAGUCU
rnacentral:piRNA from 2 species